rnacentral:rRNA from 1 species
UACGAAGGGGACUAGCGUUGUUCGGAAUUACUGGGCGUAAAGCGCACGUAGGCGGAUUUGUAAGUCAGGGGUGAAAUCCCGGGGCUCAACCUCGGAACUGCCUUUGAUACUGCAAAUCUCGAGUCCGAUAGAGGUGGGUGGAAUUCCUAGUGUAGAGGUGAAAUUCGUAGAUAUUGGGGAGGAACACCAGUGGCGAAGGCGGUCCCCUGGGCCGGAACUGACGCUGAGGCGCGAAAGCGUGGGUAGCAAACGGG